rnacentral:tRNA from 1 species
GCUUUCGUGGUGUAGUGGUCAGCACGCUCGACGCGUAUUCGAGAGGUCCGUGGUUCGAGUCCCGGCGAGGGCA